rnacentral:other from 1 species
UAAUAUUUCAACUGUUUCUUACGGUGAAGAAAAACCGGCAGUGUUAGGUCAUGACGAAGCGGCAUACGCGAAAAACCGUCGUGCAGUAUUAGCAUACUAAUUUAUUU